rnacentral:rRNA from 1 species
CGGAAGGCAGCAGUGAGGAAUAUUGGUCAAUGGACGAGAGUCUGAACCAGCCAAGUAGCGUGCAGGAUGACGGCCCUAUGGGUUGUAAACUGCUUUUGUACGGGAAUAAAGUGACCUACGUGUAGGUUUUUGCACGUACCGUAAGAAUAAGGACCGGCUAAUUCCGUGCCAGCAGCCGCGGUAAUACGGAAGGUCCGGGCGUUAUCCGGAUUUAUUGGGUUUAAAGGGAGCGUAGGCCGUGCUUUAAGCGUGUUGUGAAAUGUAGGCGCCCAACGUCUGCACUGCAGCGCGAACUGGAGCACUUGAGUACGCAGGAAGUAGGCGGAAUUCGUCGUGUAGCGGUGAAAUGCUUAGAUAUGACGAAGAACUCCGAUUGGGAAGCCAGCUUACUGUAGCGCCACUGACGCUGAUGCUCGAAAGCGUGGGUAUCGAACAGGAUUAGAUACCCUGGUA